GUUAGAGUUGCCUGAGAUUAAUACACUCACUCGUUCGAUUACACGUUUAGGGGGUGACCAUCCACUUAGACCAGUAAGUGCUGCUCCAGUCACAUGGCCGCCACACGGCACAGCGCCAGACCAUCUGGAAGGCCAGGAGCCAUGCACGCGGGCCACACUGGCUCUUGGAAGGCAGAUGUCCCCGAUACCUGAGAAGAGGGGCUCCUUUCCACAGGUGCAGAUCCAGGAGGAGGGACAACAGGGAAGAAGCGGGGGUUGGGCAGACCUGGAGGGCAGCCACUUCCAGAACAUGGCAGCCAGAGCACAGGGCCAGACCCGAAAGGACAGGGCGUGAACUCUGCCUCCUCCCUCCCUCCCCUCCCUCCCCCUCCGUCCUCCUCCCUCUUCCUCCCUCCUCCUCCCUCCUCCUCCCUCCUCCCUCCUCACUCUUCCUUCCUCCUCCCUCCUCUUUCAUCCCCCUCCUUCCUCCCUCCUCCUCCCCCUCCUACCUCCUCCCCCCUCUCUUCCCUUUCUCCUCCUCCUCCCUCCCCAUCCUCCUCCUUCCUCCCUUCUUCCUCCCUCCCCCCUCUUCCUCCCUCCCCCUCCCUCCUCCUCCUCCCUCCUCCUCCCUCCUCCCUCCUCCUCCUCCUCCCUCCCUCCCUCCUCCUCCUCCUCCUCCUCUCCUCCCUCCUCCUACCUCCUCCCCCCUCUCUUCCCUUUCUCCUCCUCCUCCUCCUCCUCCCUCCUCCUCCUCCUCCCUCCUCCUCCCUCUCUCCCUCCCUCCUCCUCUCCUCCCUCCUCCUACCUCCUCCCCUUCUUUCUUCCCUUUCUCCUCCUCCUUCCUCCCCCUCCUCCCCCCUCCCUCCUCCUCCUCCUCCCUUUCUUUUUUUCCUGGGUACUUGUUCUGAGUUAGGAAGGCAAGGGGAGAGAAAAACUCACAACCUAACAGUCAGGGGCCCUGGAAACAGCUUGGCGAGGAGCUGCAGCCCCUCCUGGGCCCGGCCAUACCCCUGUCCUACCUUA
rnacentral:lncRNA from 1 species